rnacentral:rRNA from 1 species
CCCAUCUAAGUGCCCUGGAACGGGCCGUCAUAGAGGGUGAGAAUCCCGUCUGGGAUGGGGUGCCCACGCCCGUGUGAAGCUCCUUCGACGAGUCGAGUUGUUUGGGAAUGCAGCUCUAAAUGGGUGGUAAAUUUCAUCUAAAGCUAAAUACUGGCCGGAGACCGAUAGCGCACAAGUAGAGUGAUCGAAAGAUGAAAAGCACUUUGAAAAGAGAGUUAAACAGCACGUGAAAUUGUUGAAAGGGAAGCGCUUGCGACCAGACUCGCCCACGGGGUUCAGCCGGCAUUCGUGCCGGUGUACUUCCCCGCGGGCGGGCCAGCGUCGGUUUGGGCGGCCGGUCAAAGGCCCUUGGAAUGUACCGCCCCCCGGGGCGGCUUAUAGCCAAGGGUGCCAUGCGGCCAGCCCGGACCGAGGAACGCGCUUCGGCUCGGACGCUGGCAUAAUGGUCGUAAGCGACCCGUCUUGAAACACGGACCAAGGAGUCUAACAUCUACGCGAGUGUUCGGGUGUCAAACCCGUGCGCGCAGUGAAAGCGAACGGAGGUGGGAACCCCUCGGGGCGCACCAUCGACCGAUCCUGAUGUCUUCGGAUGGAUUUGAGUAAGAGCGUAGCUGUUGGGACCCGAAAGAUGGUGAACUAUGCCUGAAUAGGGCGAAGCCAGAGGAAACUCUGGUGGAGGCUCGCAGCGG